UUUACAACGAAAAAUCACAACUCACAAAAUCGAAAAAACACAAAUCAAAGUAAAGUGUAUUUUUCGCGAUAUCUAGCUUAACUAACUAGCAAAGGCUGAAGAAAUGGCUAAGUCUACUUACUUCGUUAGCCUCCUUGCACUUUCUCUCAUUUUCAUGCUUGUAGUGAACACUGAAAUUCAAAUGGCGGAAGCAAAAACCUGUGGAUGGUUAUACAAAGCUUGGUGGACAGAUAACUGCUCCUACAAGUGCAAGAACGUCUGGGAUGCCUACUAUGGAAAGAAAGAGUGGUACAAUGGCAAAUGGGCUUGCUUCUGUUACUAUGGACCUUGUUAAGAUACUGCUCAUGCCCUAUAAUCGAUAAAAAGGAGAAAAAUCGCGACUUAAUUACCCUCUAAUAAUCUAAUUAUAAUUACUGUGAAAUAAAUUGUAUUAUUAUGAGAAUAAUACAUAUGUCAAAGUGUGGGCUGCUACGUACUUAGUAGAAUUGAAAUAAGCCUAUAAGUUACUAUAUGUAAUAUAAGUAUAACUUGCAUGAAUAAAGAGGGUUUGAACUUUGAAAUCUUUGAA